CCCUGCCUUUUGUACACACCGCCCGUCGCUCCUACCAACGGGACGGGAAGGCAAAGUCGGUGGACCGCUCAUGCUACAGCUUCGGCUGCAUGGCUUGUGUGGAAAGCUGGCUGAACCUUCACGUCUAGAGGAAGGAGAAGUCGUAACAAG
rnacentral:rRNA from 1 species